rnacentral:rRNA from 1 species
GAUGAACGCUGGCGGCGUGCCUAAUACAUGCAAGUCGAGCGAACAGAUAAGGAGCUUGCUCCUUUGACGUUAGCGGCGGACGGGUGAGUAACACGUGGGUAACCUACCUAUAAGACUGGGAUAACUUCGGGAAACCGGAGCUAAUACCGGAUAACAUUUGGAACCGCAUGGUUCUAAAGUGAAAGAUGGUUUUGCUAUCACUUAUAGAUGGACCCGCGCCGUAUUAGCUAGUUGGUAAGGUAACGGCUUACCAAGGCGACGAUACGUAGCCGACCUGAGAGGGUGGUCGGCCACACUAGAACUGAGACACGGUCCAGAGUCCUACGGGAGGCAGCAGUAGGGAAUCUUCCGCGAUGGGCGAAAGCCUGACGGAGCAACGCCGCGUGAGUGAUGAAGGGUUUCGGCUCGUAAAGCUCUGUUAUUAGGGAAGAACAAAUGUGUAAGUAACUGUGCACGUCUUGACGGUACCUAAUCAGAAAGCCACGGCUAACUACGUG